AUUGAACGCUGGCGGCAGGCCUAACACAUGCAAGUCGAACGAGUGGCGGACGGGUGAGUAAUGUCUGGGAACCUGCCUGAUGGAGGGGGAUAACUACUGGAAACGGUAGCUAAUACCGCAUACCAUCGGAUGUGCCCAGAUUGGAUUAGCUAGUAGGUGGGGUAAAGGCUCACCUAGGCGACGAUCCCUAGCUGGUCUGAGAGGAUGACCAGCCACACUGGAACGGAGACACGGCCCAGACUCCUACGGGAGGCAGCAGUGGGGAAUAUUGGACAAUGGGCGCAAGCCUGAGCCAGCCAUGCCGCGUGUAUGAAGAAGGCCUUCGGGUUGUAAAGUACUUUCAGCAGGGAGGCGUUACCUGAAGAAGAAGCACCGGCUAACUCCGUGCCAGCAGCCGCGGUAAUAC
rnacentral:rRNA from 1 species